UACAGAGGGGGCUAGCGUUGUUCGGAAUUACUGGGCGUAAAGGGCGCGUAGGCGGCCCUCUAAGUCGAACGUGAAAUCCCCGGGCUCAACCCGGGAACUGCGUCCGAUACUGGAGGGCUCGAAUCCGGGAGAGGGAUGUGGAAUUCCAGGUGUAGCGGUGAAAUGCGUAGAUAUCUGGAGGAACACCGGUGGCGAAGGCGGCGUUCUGGACUGCAACUGACACUGAGAAACGAAAGCCAGGGUAGCAAACGGG
rnacentral:rRNA from 1 species